UGUUGUUUAAUUAAAUAAAAUUUACCAGAUUGAAUUUAGUAAAAUGCCUAAUCUAAAGACUAAUUAAUCAUAUAAAUAAAAGUCCGUUCUGCGUUUUGCUGGUUUAAUUGAAAUCUUUUCAGCCAGCCCUCGCAUAUCAUAUGGGAAACGGACAUAUGCAUAGGAGUAUUUGUGAUUGUUUAGAAUUUUGAGCGGAAAAACAAUUUUGACAACGUUUUAUGUGUCUAACGAGGUCGCUCAAUUUGAUGAGAUCCAAGGCCCGAUGAAUUAUGCAUGCAAAAAACAAAACUAACUGCGGGCGGACAGCGCAGGGACGGGGAUAAAGAAGCAACCAUUCAUUCACAAGGACUCACACACACACACAUACAGUGAGAAAUCGACAAAUGAGCCCAUAAAGCUGGCUAAAACAGAAACAGACGCCGAAGAAGAAGCAGAAGCAGAAGCAGAAGCAGAAGCCAACGCACGGACUCAUCGUGAAAUAAAAAUUUGAUGUCACGUCAUUUGCCAGGGGCCAAGGGCGAAAGUGAUUAAAACUUAGACGCAGUGCAGCAAAAAUUAAUAAAGUUAAGUGUCAGGCGACAUAAAAAUGUCAAUCGAUGGUCAUUGCCCAUAAGACAACACAUGGCCCAAGGUCCGCCCAAUGGGAGCGGCAUUCAAAUGGACUCCCGCGAGUCGACCAACCAUUUGCGUAUCUGACAGCGGUGGCAAUUUGUUUAUCACGUUUGACGAACAUAAAUAUUGAAUUUAUUAAUUAAAGAAAUGACGCCAACGACAACGGUUGACAUCGAAUCCGACGAAAAAAGCUGAUUUUUAUGAAAAUAAAACAUUGUUUCAUAUUUUUAAGGCAAUCCAGAAGACUACCACUAGUUCGACAAUGAGAUAUCCCAUACAAAUAUAUUAUCGAACAUAUUACAAAUAUAUAUAUGUACAUGUUUUAGUCUCUAAAUAAAAGUAGUUGCUCAACAGUAAGGUCUGUUCAACUUUAUAAAAAUG